rnacentral:lncRNA from 1 species
UGUUUGUUGUUUUUAGUAAUUAAAGACAUUUGCAAGAUUGAAUUUACUGUAAUAGAGAUAGAAAAACACAGAUAUGGUGGUUGACACAGUCCUAAAAAAUGGAGUCAUGGAGGUAAGUACAUACUGCUCUUUGGAGAAACAUGGUUGUAAGGUGAACGAAAAACUAAGGUGUACACUAGAAGGAAACAGAGCGACAAAAUAGGAGAUGCUGAAAGAAAAAGAGAAGUUGAAAUACAGAAGAGAAGAGACGCAAUGUAAGCUUCCCAAAGAAAUGAGAAGAUGUGAUUCAAAGAACAGAUGGUAGGUUUAACAUUUGAAAUGUAGGACAACAAUUUAGCUAAAAUAGAAAGGGAAGAGGUAAGGCUGGCUCUGACUAUAUUUACACUUGUUUGUGUUUUGGGGAGAGAAAGGAAGUGGAGAACGUUCUUGCAAGAUGAUCUGUAUUUUCUCUCUAAAGCAGAGUUCAUUUGCUGAGAAUGAUGGAGAAAAUCAGCAUCUAGCUAAUCAGCUGACCAUGAGAUGCAGAGAUUAUCUGGAAUUAUCCAGAUUGGUCCAUUUAAUUACAUGAGUCCUUAAAAGUGGAAAGUGGAAGAAGAGGCAGAAGAGUGUGUCAGAGAGAUGCUGUGUGAAAAGGACUCAACCUGCCACUUGAGGCUUUGAGGCUGGAGAAAGGGGCCAUGAACCAAGGAUUGUGAGCAGCCUGUAAAAUCUGGAAAAGACAAGGCAAUACCCUUUGCUGUCUCAGGGUCAAACAUGCAACUCCUGCCUGCUUGUAUGGCCAGCUGGGUUCAAGAAGGAAGGAACCUCAUUGUUGACAGUUACCAGAUGAAUGUGCCCCUUCUGUACAGCUAAGAAAUGGAAUAGACAUUGGUAACCUUCCACAGGCCCACACAUGUGUUAUCAGCCAUACCUUAGGACAGAAGGAAUGAGUUUGCAGAAAGGAUGUGGCACUUGCCAGUAAUUCACACAUGCUGAUAGCCCUACAACCAUACUGAGAAUUUAGCCCUGGGGACAUCUUCCGAUAUAAUCUGGCAUAGAAGAGUGGUUAUCACACCUUUAGCAUGGAUAGAAAUGCAAAACAAUAUUUGUAAUAGUCUGUGCUCACGCUGCUAUAAGGACAUACCCAAGACUAGGAAAGAGCCACAGAUUUGCUUCUUCCUAGCAAGGGCGUGAUACUAAUUCCAGAUCCAUCCAAAUAUUGUUCACUGCUUCUUAGACAGAGACCCCUUUCUCCCAGGACCCUUGAGACACCUUUGCUGUGAAUAAUGGAGAAGCAAAAGGAGUUACUAAUGAAGACAAACUAAACCUGAGAACAGAGAGAGCCUAACUAUGUGCUCCAGAAGUGCCAUGUGUGUCUAAGGUAGGUCCAAAGGUAUGAGUCUAGAGAUAUUAUGUAUAAAACACCUAAUUGAAUGUCAAAAAAUCCAUAGAAGCUUAAUAAUUGGUAGCAAUUAUUAUUACUCAUUAGUGUGGGGGCUGGGAAGAUGACAACAGAGUAUAACUUGGAGGGUUGGUGUAGAGCAAUUAGCUAGCAACUGUAGUUUGAAUUUCCAUGAAGUAGUUCCCUUAAUUGUGUACACACAAACACAUCAAAACUGAAACCACAGCUAUGUGAUUUAAUAAUGUUGCACGUUUAGACAUGAUACAAGGCACUUUUGCCUACAUUAUCUUUCUGUGAGUUUAACAUUAGACCUGGUAUAAUUAUCCUAAAUUUACUACUAGAGAAUUUAGUUUGAAAAGUCAUGCAACUUUUCUAAAGAAUUUUUUCUGAUUUAAUAACACCAAUCAAUGAAUUAAUCAAUCAACUGUUCUGGCCAUUAAAUGUGUGAGAAAAAAAAGUCAGUGUAUUAAUUAUAAUUAUAUACCGAGACUUGGCUCUGUGUGUUUCACAAAAUAAGUAUAAAGUAUCAAAUUUGUUAUAAAUGUGUGACCCAUUAAAAGAAAAAAAAACUUGAUAGAUGUGUAUUUGGUAACAGCUUUUUAGAAAAUUUUUUGAACAUUUAUGAUGUUCAGAAAAGAACAGUGAUCAGUGUGCUAAAUUAAAUUACUUGAAUAAAUUAUGGAGAAAAAGUUCUGAUUUUUGUGCAAGGUUUGCAUUCUGGAUUGAGGUCCAGUUCUUUUUGAAGUAUCUGAAAUCAAACAUAUAUUUCCAAACCCUGAGGACUGAUUUCCUUCUGAAGACCACCCUCUCUUCUAUUUGAGGAACUCCAUAUUCCUUCUUGUAACACUACUCUGAUUCUAUAUCAAGCAAUCUUGGCCUUGUUAAGAUAAGAAAGUUGCCUUAAGCACUUUCCAAAGCUUUCCUACAUUCACUGUUGGUGGAUGGUGUCCCUACCCUACUUGUUCCCCUGCAGAACCUCAGAUUGGAGAUAUAAGGGGUGAAAUAACAGCCAAGUACCUCAGAGCUAAGUACUUUACAUAUAACUCAUUUAAUCCUCACAGCAUUGCUAUGGAACAAGUACUAUUAUUCAUCCCAGUUUACAGAUAGAAACUAAGGCAGAGAAAGGUUAAAUAAUCAAAGUUUACCUACUAGAUAACAGAGUGGGGGUAGAAACCAAGCCAUUCUGGCUUUUCCUGCUUGUAACACCAGGGUGGUAAAGGUGAAAAUUUGGGUUCAUUCUCACAGAGAAGAGGUUAUUAAGGCUCAGACUGGACAGAUAGCAUGGGAAUGAUGAGCAAGCAGGAAAUUUAAGAGUCAGAUCUUAGAAAAAUAUGACAAAGCCUAGAGACUGGCAACUGACAUGAUCUGAGAAAAGUGAGGAGGCCAGUGUUCCUUGUUUGGAAACAGGAGGAAUAAUGGGACCACUGGUUGAAAUGGAGUGCAAAUGUCUUAUAAGAAAAGGAAAAAAAUGACACCAACUUGACCCUCAAGUAUAUUUUGAGUAUAUUCUAUUUCUCUUUUCAUUAGAAGAAAUUUAAUUUGAGAAAUGAAUAGAGAAAGAAAGGGGAAAGGAGAAUGUUUCAAAGAAUAAGGUUAAAGUCAUCACAGCUUGACAGCAAUCUAAAAGUCAAAAAGUAUGCCAGAAUAGCAGGUAUUUGAGACCCACUGUUCGAAACAAUUUUAUUUUAAACACAUGUGGUUCCUUAAUGAUACUGGUAGCAUGGUGGUUGUGCAGCCCGCCUUUAGCAGGAAGUGCUGAUUUGCUUAAUUCUAUUAAGCCUAUAAGAAAGGUAAAUCUGUCUCCUGAACUUAAGGGGCCUCUGCUCUAAAGUAAGUUUGACAUUGGCCAAUAAUCACCCUGACAUUCUUGUGGCUUUGGCUGCUCUUGAAGCUGCUGAAUUGCACCAAGAGAAGAGGCUGAGUGAGAAAGCCUGGUUAUAGCAAUGGCCCAUCCUGUCAGUGCUGGGAGUGGGUACUAUACUCAAAGCAGUAUAAAUACAGAUGCUGCACAUUAUGCUCUGCUAUGCUGGCUGCCUUUGGGAUGAUUGUUGGGAAAGUUCUUGAAGCCAGUGGUGUUAGAGGGGACAGUGUGCUUCUUGAAACAAAAGAGUUGAUGGUGAGAAUGGUCUUUGAAAACUGUACUCUUUACAAAGGUGAACUCUGCAAACUGGGCCUACUGAAAGAAAUAGGGAUUCUAUUUUCAUUACUGUUUUAUCAUCAAAAUACCAUAAGGCCUGGCCCUUAGCAAAUAGUCCUUAAAUAUCUGAUACCAUUAGAAGCUUGCUUCUAUGAAGGGUGAUCACCCAUCCCAGUUUGCGUGGGACAGUCUUAGUUUACAUUAUUGUCCUUGCAUCCUGUUCAGCUGGUAUAUAUCCAAGUCUCUUAAUUUUUAUUCAAGUAUUAUUAUUAAUAGUUGUACAAAAAUAAGUCAGAAUAAGUUUGGUAGACCUCUACUUUAUUUCCAGCUUCUGUCAUUUUCUUCCUGGUAGUAGGUAUGAGACAUAUAUACAUGGAAAGAUAAUCAGCAGUAGCCUAUCUCUCUCCCUUUAAUUUUUUAAAGAACUUUCCAGAUUCAAGAAUGGACAAGGCACUCAGUUAUGAGCAACAAAUUCCUUUUGUCUUGGAGAUCAUGGAAGAAGUAUUAGAUGCUGCUCCCCUUAGUGUAACAGCCAGUUUUGUUGCAGCCUGUGGGGCCUGCAAGCUACACAAAACCACCAGGAUCCUAGAAGAGUCACUAGGAAACGUAGAGUAUUAUAGCUAGAUAAACAUCAUCACAUAUGUGUAAAAGAUAGAGACUGAACAGUCCAGUCUUAAAAUGUAUAGCAAAGUAGUUUGAAUGCUCUUGUUACAGUGAUUUUGUCAUCUACCAAUUUUAAGUGUGUAGUGAUUUAUCUAUCACAUUAUUUGGCAAUACUUUCUGAAUUUUGCAAUACAUGCAACAAUGACCUAAAAAAUGAAAGUGCAUGUUUAAUUUAAAAAUUAAAAGUAAAGCCAGGCGCAGUGGCUCACACCUGUAAUCCCAGCACUUUGGGAGGCUGAGGCGGGCGGAUUACCUGAGGUCGGGAGUUCAAGACCAGCCUGACCAACAUGGAGAAACCCUGUCUCUACUAAAAAUACAAAAUUGACUGGGCGUGGUGGUGCAUGCCUGUGGUCCCAGCUACUUGGGAGGCCGAAGCAGGAGAAUUGCUUGAACCUGGGAGGCGGAUGUUGCGGUGAGUGGAGAUCGCGCCAUUGCACUCCAGCCUGGGCAACAAGAGCAAAACUCUGUCUCAAAAAAAAAAAAAAAAA